AACGAACGCUGGCGGCAGGCCUAACACAUGCAAGUCGAACGAGAAGCCACCUUCGGGUGGUGGACAGUGGCAGACGGGUGAGUAACGCGUGGGAACGUGCCUUUCGGUUCGGAAUAACCCAGGGAAACUUGGGCUAAUACCGGAUACGCCCUUCGGGGGAAAGAUUCAUCGCCGAAAGAUCGGCCCGCGUCGGAUUAGCUAGUUGGUGGGGUAAUGGCUCACCAAGGCGACGAUCCGUAGCUGGUCUGAGAGGAUGACCAGCCACACUGGGACUGAGACACGGCCCAGACUCCUACGGGAGGCAGCAGUGGGGAAUAUUGGACAAUGGGCGCAAGCCUGAUCCAGCCAUGCCGCGUGGGUGAAGAAGGCCUUAGGGUUGUAAACCCCUUUCAGCGGGGAAGAUAAUGACGGUACCCGCAGAAGAAGUCCCGGCUAACUCCGUGC
rnacentral:rRNA from 1 species